GAACGAACGCUGGCGGCAGGCUUAACACAUGCAAGUCGAACGCCCGUAGCAAUACGGGAGUGGCAGACGGGUGAGUAACGCGUAGGAACCUGCCCAAAGGUACGGAACAACUCAGGGAAACUUGAGCUAAUACCGUAUAUUCCCUACGGGGGCAAGGUUGGCCGCCCUGGGAGGGGCCCGCGUUGGAUUAGCUUGUUGGUGGGGUAAAGGCCCACCAAGGCUGCGAUCCAUAGCUGGUCUGAGAGGAUGAUCAGCCACACUGGGACUGAGACACGGCCCAGACUCCUACGGGAGGCAGCAGUGGGGAAUAUUGGACAAUGGGCGCAAGCCUGAUCCAGCCAUGCCGCGUGAGUGAAGAAGGCCUUAGGGUUGUAAAGCUCUUUCACCCGCGAAGAUGAUGACGGUAGCGGGAGAAGAAGCCCCGGCUAACUCCGUGCCAGCAGCCGCGGUAAUACGGAGGGGGCAAGCGUUGUUCGGAUUUACUGGGCGUAAAGAGCCAAGUAGGCGGCUUAGUGUGUCUUUUGUGAAAUCCCACAGCUCAACUGAGGAACUGCAAGGGAAACUGCAAAGCUUGAGUCCGGGAGAGGGUAGUGGAAUUCCCAGUGUAGCGCUGAAAUGCGUAGAUAUUGGGAGGAACACCUGUGGCGAAGGCGGCUCUCUGGACCGGUACUGACGCUGAGACGCGAAAGCUAGGGGAGCAAACGGGAUUAGAUACCCCGGUAGUCCUAGCUGUAAACGAUGAACACUUGGUGUGGCGGGUAUCGACCCCUGCCGUGCCGGAGCUAACGCAUUAAGUGUUCCGCCUGGGGAGUACGGCCGCAAGGCUGAAACUCAAAGGAAUUGACGGGGGCCCGCACAAGCGGUGGAGCAUGUGGUUUAAUUCGACGCAACGCGAAGAACCUUACCUGGGUUUGAACUGCAGGUGACCGCCCCUGAAAGGGGGUUUUCCUUCGGGACACCUGUGGAGGUGCUGCAUGGCUGUCGUCAGCUCGUGUCGUGAGAUGUUGGGUUAAGUCCCGCAACGAGCGCAACCCUUGCCUCCUGUUGCCAUCAGGUCAAGCUGGGCACUCUGGAGGAACUGCCGGCGAUAAGCCGGAGGAAGGUGGGGAUGACGUCAAGUCCUCAUGGCCUUUAUGUCCCGGGCUACACACGUGCUACAUUGGCUGGUACAGAGGGUCGCAAAGCCGCGAGGUGGAGCUAAUCUCAAAAAGCCAGUCCCAGUUCGGAUCGCAGUCUGCAACUCGACUGCGUGAAGCUGGAAUCGCGAGUA
rnacentral:rRNA from 1 species